rnacentral:rRNA from 1 species
UACAGAGGUCCCAAGCGUUGUUCGGAUUCACUGGGCGUAAAGGGUGCGUAGGUGGCGGGGUAAGUUUGAUGUGAAAUCUCCGGGCUUAACCCGGAAACUGCAUUGAAUACUAUUCUGCUCGAGGUUUGGAGGGGGGACUGGAAUUCUCGGUGUAGCAGUGAAAUGCGUAGAUAUCGAGAGGAACACCAGUGGCGAAGGCGAGUCCCUGGACAACACCUGACACUGAGGCACGAAAGCAUGGGGAGCAAAAGGG